UACGGAGGGUGCAAGCGUUAAUCGGAAUUACUGGGCGUAAAGCGUGCGCAGGCGGUUUGUUAAGUCUGUUGUGAAAUCCCCGAGCUUAACUUGGGAAUUGCAAUGGAUACUGGCAGGCUGGAGUAUGGUAGAGGAAGGUGGAAUUCCCGGUGUAGCAGUGAAAUGCGUAGAGAUCGGGAGGAACACCAGUGGCGAAGGCGGCCUUCUGGACCAAUCCUGACGCUCAUGAGCGAAAGCGUGGGGAGCAAACAGG
rnacentral:rRNA from 1 species